GACGAACGCUGGCGGCGUGCCUAAUACAUGCAAGUUGAGCGAUGAAGAUUGGUGCUUGCACCAAUUUGAAGAGCAGCGAACGGGUGAGUAACGCGUGGGGAAUCUGCCUUUGAGCGGGGGACAACAUUUGGAAACGAAUGCUAAUACCGCAUAACAACUUUAAACAUAAGUUUUAAGUUUGAAAGAUGCAAUUGCGUCACUCAAAGAUGAUCCCGCGUUGUAUUAGCUAGUUGGUGAGGUAAAGGCUCACCAAGGCGAUGAUGCAUAGCCGACCUGAGAGGGUGAUCGGCCACCAUGGGACUGAGACACGGCCCAAACUCCUACGGGAGGCAGCAGGAGGGGAUCCUCGGCAAUGGACGAAAGUCUUACCGAGCAACGCCGGGGUAGGGAAGAAGGGUUUCGGAUCGGAAAAAUCUGUUGGUAGGGAAGAACGUUGGUGGGAGUGGAAAGCUCAUCAAGUGACGGUAACUACCCAGAAAGGGACGGCUAACUACGUG
rnacentral:rRNA from 1 species